UCCCUAGUGGUCCAGUGGUUGAGACUCUGUGUUUCCAAUGCAGAAGGGCAGGGUUCGAUCCCUGAUUAGGGAA
rnacentral:tRNA from 1 species